UGCACUGAUUGCCUGUUCUCUAAGUGUUUACAUUUUAUAGGAAAAUGCUCCGUUUGACUGUCAGGGUAAAUGUUUUAUAAAUUUAUAUUGGAAUUAAAUGUUAAAUGCUGUUCUCUACACCGUUACGUCUGUCACAUUUAUUGUGGUACAAGAUUGUUUAAAUCUUUCACUGAUCAUUGUGUUAAACAUGAAAUAAUGUAGAAUACUUGGUCUGUAAGGCAGCCUCUUGGACUAGUUGGACAGGGCACACCAUAACAUAUGCAAAUGUUUUUUAUAUUUUUUAAUCCUUAGCACUGUCUCACAAAUCAUUUGCGAAACAUGAGAAUUCUAGUCGUGUGUCGUGUCAGCACCCAUGAAGGCCGGGAAGUUUGUAACAGGUAAGUACAAAGUCCACAUUAACAAAUGCUUUAUAAAACAUUACUAAUACAUCUAUAAAUCAUUGGUAUAUGUUAUCAAGAGCCCUAAUGUAAAGUGAAGACAAUUCAUUAUUUACGAAUGUCUGUUAAAUGUGAACAAACAUGGUGGCAACAUUAACAAAUACUUGUAAAUAAUGAAUAGUUUUCACUUUACAUUAGGGCUCUUGAUGACAUCAACUACUGAUUUAUAGGUAUUUAAGGAAUGUUUUGUAAAGCAUAUAUUAAACAUGAACAAGCACUGAGGUUGCCUUAAAUGACAGUUAUAAAUAAUGAAUAGUCUUCACUUUACAUUAGGGCUCUUAAUAACAUCUACUGAUGGUUUAUAGAUAUUUAAGGAAUGUUUUGCAAAGCAUAUAUUAAACAUGAACAAACAUUUAAGUCACCUUAAUAGACCUUACUUUAGGGUAACUUAUCUACAAAUAGAAUAUAAAUAAUGUAUAAUUUUAAUUACAAAUGAUUUAUUAAUCAUUUACAAACGUAUAUAAAUGGUUUGUUCAUGAUUAAUUUACUACUUACUAAUGCCUUAAUAACAACAUACAAAUGAUGUUUAAACAGUUUGUAAAUGUAAAGUUAUACACUUACAAAUGUCAAUAAACAGUUUGUUCAUGUUUACUAAUCAUCUACAAACUGCUUAUAAAUGUUAAUAAAUGCUUUAUAACAGGUGGUCAUUGUAAAGUGUUACCCUGUUUUGUCCUGGUUGAGCUGCAGAAAAUUGGCUGCCAUCCAGGACUUAAUGUCUAAAGUGCAGUUUAAAAGGGCAUCAAUUGGCUUGCUGUCAUCAGGAGACACGGCCAUGUACAGUUGUGCAUCAUCAGCAUAACUGUGGAAGCUGAUGCAAUGCCUACUGAGGAUGUCUCCCAGGGAAGCAUGUCGAGAUUAAAAAGAGUUGGACCUAAAAUUGUUCCCUGGGGAACCCCACACAUAAUUUUGUGGGUUUGCAGGGUUGUGUGUGUGUAUUGUGUGGAACAUUCAUGCCAUUUUUGGUAACUUUAUCGGCUAGAUUGAGAGGAGUUGCAUGAAAUUAUCUGAAACUUUUAUCUUUCUUCACUCCUCCCAGCCAGAAAUAACACUCGACACAUACGUUUUUUUUUCCCACAGUUGUAGACACACUUGUACUGCCUCUAACGAUGUGUUUAUCAAAGGAGAGACUUACAGAAUUUAAACACUGAGGCUCUCAGUGCAGCAAAGUGAUUGCUCCUCAUUGCAGCUAAUAGUGAUUUUCUGAAAGAAGCAGAAGGAACUCCUGCUUAUAACUUGCAAGUAUGUCCAAUCUAUUUCUGUAGAAACACCAAAAUCAUAUCAAAGCAUUCAGGAAAUCCUUAUGAAGACAGAGGUCUGCUUAUUUUCUGAUAGGAGCUGUCGUUUUGUCAGAAUAAGCCCAAAUGUGAGACCAGCAUUUAGACCAGCAUAUUAUUCCAGGGCAAGUCAUGUCCUAAAAAAUUGAGAGUGAAAGUCACCUUAGCAAUUUAGUGACGGGCAUGGCAGUUCUUUUAGAUGAACUGAAUCACUAGAAUCAGUUCACUAAAAAGAUUCAUUCAAAAGAUUCGUUCACCAAAUCAUUCAGUGCUUGGCAGUAGGAGCCUGUGAUUUCGACUCCCUGAACUGAUACACAGCUGAACUGCUCAGGAUUCAGUUCAGUUCAUAGCUUCUGGGACCAGGAGACAGGAGUGUUGUAGCUGUGUUACUUUGACAAACAUGUUUGUAAAAAUGAACUUGUUUAUAAAUCAUUAUGUUUUAAGUAUACUGUCCAAUGAUAUGCUAUUUAUCUGGUCUACUCUGUUAAAUGGGCUCUGUCUGUGAGUGAUUUGUGUACUGAACCUAUACCCCACACUGACCAUACACCAUUCCCCUGCAAAAUGUCACAAUCAGACAGUCACACAUUUUCUCAGGUAGUGGGUAGCUACACCACACAUUGUAAACAAGGUAGUGACAAAAUUGUUUUUUAUUGUUAUUCUGUAGGAACUAUACAUCACACUACAAAUAACCAGGAAAAAUACAAGAAAAACAGGUAUGGACUAACCCACAAUUGUGAGUGCAAAACAAAUCCUAAAUUAAGAGCAAAAUGACGAAAUAAAAACUACUGUAAAAGCUGUACAUUUAGAAAAUAUUUACUUAAAUAUACAAUAUAAAAGAAAUAUCAAAUCAAGAAGAAAAUGAUGAGGUAAAAACAAGUAUAAAUACUGUGUGUCCAAAAAUAUUAAAAAAAUAUCAACUUAAAUGUGCAAUGUAAAAGAAACCAAUAUUAAAUCAAGAGCAAAAUGACGAGGUAAAACCAACUAUAAAUACUGUGCAUUAAAAAAUGUUCAAAAAAGUUAGUUUUCUCCGGGGUACACAUGAAGACAACAUAUCCUGGUCUCCCUUUGUUGCCCCUGCCAAGAGCUUGCUACAGCUGGUGAGUCUCACUCUCUUCUCAUUAUUGCUAUUAAAACAAUGGGGAGAAACGGACCGCCAUGAAAGUGUAUCCCUCAGACGAAAAUGAUUCCGGAGAGUGUAGUUCAGUUCACUGACUGAUCGUUCACCAUGUGAUUCAAGUGCAUGUGCCGUCACCGUGCGGUCCCUCUUUCCCUCUUUCACUCCCUGCAGCGGCUCACCCGGCCCGACUGCUUGCUCGGUAAUGCUGCAUGCUAUGGCAGCUCAACUGAACUGAGAAAAGAACGAAUCACUUCAGAAAGUGAUGCGGUUUAGUAUGUUCACUCGCGAACGACACAACACCAAAGCAUAUUCUCCUCUGCACCAUACACCAAUUUAACCGAGUAGACAACUGACUACUAUUCUCAGUAGCUUAGGUCACUGUGAAACUUAUAACUUUAGAUUGGAACUUGAGACCGCAUUAACUAAGACCCUUGAUUAGGUUUCCUAUUCUCUCAGUCCCCAAAUUAUUACUAGUGAGGAUAACGACGUUUCAUUUUGAGUGGGGAAAAACGGAACUAAAUAACUACAAACAUCCAUGGCUCCAGUAUGUUGAACUGGACUAAUGGGAUCAUGAUACAGGAAGUGAAACCUGGAAUGAUGAUCCCAACUCUCUGGGAAAUCAACAAAUGCUCCCUCUCUUCAAGUGGAACAAGACACGCUCUCUGAAGGUAGAUAUACCUGAGACCCUAGACCCUGUCCCUCUCUAUGGUUGAGUUGGGCCCAACUUAACUGAAGGAUCAGUUUUUACUCCACCCACAGCAAACAAAAGAGCCAACUCAUACUGCAUCCAAGAGUAUCAUGUCUAGUUACUUGUCCGAGUGGUGAGGAGUAGUGGGAGUAGUAUUUAGGGUGUUUUUUUUUUUUUUCUCCAAGGCUCAGUUCCACCAAUUGAUUUGUCUACAUUUUUGCAUGUAUUUGGGUGAUAAUGGUCCAUUAAGCCUCUGGGCAUGUCACUUCCCAUUUCCAUUAAAGGUGGGGUAGGCAGGAUCUGAGGAAGUGCCAGUUUUUGGGAGAAACCUUGAAUGUAAACACGACCCAUCCCAACCACACACACACUGCUCCAGCCUACAAACACUAGUGCUCACUUGCAUCAUUCCAAUUAAAUUCAGGUAUAAUGCAGAUAAAUACUUCAGAUAAAUAAAUAAUUGCACAUCAUAAAUAAUUCAGACAAUUGCAGGACUUCUAAAACUAGGAUAAAAUGACAUACUCCAAGACCUGAUGUAAACAGUUUAGUGGAGCUGCAACACGCAGCAAGCCCCGUUUGACAAGAAACACUUCUGUUACAGACACUUAGCUUACUCUGUUAAAGCAGUUUACCUGUCCAGCAGAAAGGUUACAGGGUCUGUAAGAUCCCAAAGCCUCCCCCAUUAUUUAUAUUGACCCGGGUUUUUAGCUCUUGUCCAGUCUACCUCCUUUUUAGGUGCCUGUUAUUCUGCCAGUCUCCGGUAUUUAGUUAAUUUUCUUGCUUGUGUUGGCAGUCAUGACCAAAGGAGGAUUCAGACAAUUUUCCCUACUUUCUGGUUGGUUUCUACUGUCUGAUACAACUUUGUUUGGGCUCGUGGUUGUUAUUUAAGGACAUGGAGCAUGCCUAACAACACAAGGGAGCAGUGUCUGCCCCACAACCAAUUAGCACUAAGGAGCAGUGUCCACCUCACAACCAAUCAGGUCAGGGAGGUGGAGAACGGCUUUGGUUACAGUCAGAAUGAACAGGGUGCUCAAAAGUUUUAGAAUAUUGACUACACAGGCAUAAAGAACCUCAGCGAUACUAACUAACUAAUAUUACCAAAUGUAAUCAAUAAUUAAUAGCUAUUGACUGAUAUUAAAAGCUUUUUUGUAUAUACACCACAAAAACAGAUGCUUCUUUAACGGAGUCCUGCUUACCCCACCUUUAAUGCUUUGUGUCAAUAUCAAACCAAAAUUGGGUCAUUCGCCUCAGCAAAAUGUAUAGUAAAGACAUUAUAUUGAUUCUGCAUUAGAUUUACACUUCAGCAUGUCCACAAUAGGAGCUGGGAUUUGAAUUCCCAGCCUUACAACUGAGGGACAGGUGACUCGACCAGUAAGAAACUGUCAUAUCCGUCCAUUUCUGUUAAGUAUUUUGUUUUACCUUCCUGUUUUAUGUCUUGUGCCUCCUGUUUUAUUUUGUGAUCACUUACCAUUGUCUCUGUUUCAGGUUCCGGUCUGCCCUGCCCCACCUUGUCUUGUUGCCAGUAUGUUGUUCCCCGGUUCAUGUCCCAGCAUCUCUUAUGCUCAAAGUCAUAGUCAUGUUUGAUACUUUUUGACCUUGCCUUUUUCCUCAUGUUUGUGGAAACAUCUGCCUUGUUUAAAUGCCUUUUUAUGUACCGAACUCUGUCUGCAAAUACACUUCGCCUUUGGUUUUUGGAGCGUACUCUGUGUCAUGAAUUUUAGUCCUAUUCUGUUGCUUCAUUUAUGACAGAAACAGCUGUCGAUGUUUCCUCAUUUGUAAAUUCUCAUCAGAACCAGAGGAAGUUUUGCAUUCUCUAGGCUAAAGAGUGUCCCAAAGCUCUAGCUACUGCUUGGAGAAGAGAGGAUCAGACUUCAAUUUAUUACUGCAAUUUUGUGACAAAAGACAACAUAGAUUUAUAUGAUAUGAUAUGAUGAUAUAUUACUUUAUUAGUUAGCUUACGCUGAAAUUUGUCUUGUGACAACAGCAGCAUGUAUGCAAAAAAGGAGGCACAUACACACAUUUGACAUGGACACCAGAGACACAAAAACAUACAUUACAUACAUAAAGACAUGAGGACAGGGGGCAAAGUCCACCACCCUGCUUACCCCUGGCCCAACUCCUGAUUAAGCCUUAAGGUCGACUGGUAGACAAAGGACCUUUUUAGUCUGACUUUAUUGUAUGCUGGAACACCAUAUCUCCUUCCUGAGGGCAGCAGCCUAUAUUCUCCAUACAACACAUGGCUAGAGUUUGAGGUAAUAUUUCUUACUAACCUUAGGACACUGCUGUCAUACGUAGAUUCAAGUAUAAGAGAGCAGGAGCCAGAAGCAUUGCAUGUGAGGGAUGCAUGACUACAAUAUAAACAACAUGGACUGCCCAUCUCUCCAUGUCAAGGCCACUCCUGUUCCAUUCAUUGUUCACCACACAUGGACUUGGGAAUUAGAGUCCCUGUGCAUGGGCCAUGUAGUGGUGUGACUGAUAGAAAUAUCCAUGUCAACUGCCCCGCAAUCAAUCAAUCAAUUUAUCAAUCAAUCAUUUCAUUUCAUUUAUUUCAUUUAUUCAUUUAUUUAGACAGGACAGUACCAGUUCAUGGACAAGGAGAAGAAGACAUGAUACAAGAAAUAUGUAUGUCUAUUCUCAUUGUAAACCAGCCAGAGUUAGCUAAGGCUAAUUUCCAUCCGUUGUCCUCAAACAGAAAAGCAACAACAACAGACAACAAUACAGUAGCGGACGACAAACACGACAAAUAUAAAAACAGAGGCAGAGGAGACCACUGGUGGAAGGUGCUUAGUGCAUAGAAAGUGCCUAGUGCUUCAAAGAACCAAGUGCCUUAAAGUGCCUAGUGCCCGGGUUUGUAAAUUUAGCCACUGUAUUAGCUGCCUUUUAAAGGUAGUGUAGGUGGGAGUCUCUCUGAUUAUUGUUGGGAAUCUUUGUUCAUAUCGAGUCAAUUCACAUCAGCUGUUAUCCCAAGACACUUGAAUGGAUAAAGAGCCAUUGGUUAAAGGGAAGGUCUCCUCACUUGGAGAACCACACCUACAGUUGUUGUUCUCCUGAGUAUCACCUUUGCAUUAUCUUUCAAUGUUGCUGAUAAUCACCCUGGGCCAAUCCCAUUCCAGGAGCGCUGCUUUUUCAGCAUUAUGCUAAUGAAAAUGUAUCUUUCCUAUGGCAGGACCCGCAGAUCCUACCAAAGGCAUGUUUCUUUCAAGCUCAAUCAAGCUUUAGUGCACUCGCAAAGUCCCUCCCAGAUCAGGAAGGACACACAUAGGUGCGGUGUGGUGUGGUCAGAAAUGUUGAACUACUGCUUUCAUGGACUCUCUGUCUUGAUGUUUCAGGUUGAUAUAAUCAAUCAGUGGAUGACUUUGUGACGUGGAGUGGAGUGGAUGCAAGAUACAACCUCCUGUUCUGUAUUGUUUAUUUUGAAAAGAUAAGAAAUCCAUAUUAAAAAAAAAAAAAGAAAACUACCAAAUGUUUACAACUCCAAACUUCAUUCUCCAUCAAUAAAAUGGAAAAAGAGCUGUUAAGGGGUGGCAGUUGCUCAGGAAGUAGAUAAGUUGUCCAAGAAACGGAAGGCUGGCGGUUCGAUUACCCCCAUCCUGUGUCCGUCUGUUGUGUCCUUAGGCAAGACACUUAACCCACUAUGCUAAACUCACAAUCAUACACUAUGGUGUAUGAUUGUGAGUGUUGUAUAGUGGUGGUCGGAGAGGCUGUAGAUGCAGCCUGGCAGCUACAUUUCCGUCAGUCUGACCCAGGGCAGCUAUAACUACGAAGGUGGUUUACCACCACCAAGGUGUGACUUUGUGAGAGAAUAAUUGAUGUAUCCAAUGUAAAGCCCUUUGAGGGUCCCUGGUAAAGCGCUUUAUGAAAUCUGGUGCAUUAAUGUAAUUUAAUAAUAUAUUAUCAACCCCACAUGCUAGGUUUAAAGAACCCAGCAGAGAAGUUAUUGUGAACCCUUAGUUGGGUCAUAUCAACAACCCAAUUUGGAUAUACAAACAACCCAGUUGUUGGGUAAGGUGUGCCAACCCAAUUAGUUGGGUAAAAUUAACCCAGCAUUUGUUCUGUCCAAUAUUUAACCAGUGCUGGGUUGGGAAACUACCCAAAUUGGGUUAUUUUUAAGCCAAUGUUUUUAGGAGCGUAUUGUCCUUCCAGGACCAGCUUUAGAGUGUUCAUUUAAGCUGAUUAGUGCCGUGAGGUUACAAUGUGUUAACUAAUCUUAACAAUGUCUUAAGUACAAUUUCCUCUUUGAAAGGUUGGGCCAGUCAAGUACCUGCACUACGAAGCCACGCUGUUGUAACACAUGAAAAAGACGUUGGGCUCUAUUUUUGUGUCCGCCGGCAACACCGUGGAGGGUGGCAGACCCCGCACAGAGGUAUUUUCGUCUGGCAGAGCUCGGCGUACAGCCAGUUAGGUAUUUUCGUAGACUGAGGUGCACCGAGGUCUGCCGAGCUGGGCAUGGUGGCGCAGUCAGGGGAGAUGUCGACAGAAUCAGCUGGCGCGGUGACAUUUUCGUGCUCGGCGGUGGCGUAAAAAGCGCGCUGAAAGCUCGCAGAUUCAAAACUGGUCAGCUUUCAGCACAGGUGGAGCGCAGCUUGUCUAGUGGUAUUUUGGUAGACCGGCAGCGUAUAGGCAUAUGUCACCGAUGCCUCACUGGUUGCUUGAAUGGCAGCAUAUGCUGCUCUAAAACCUGUCAAAACCUUUCAGCAUUAAUGUUGCCUUCACAGAUGUGUAAGUUACCCAUGCCUUUGGCACUAAUGCACCCCCAUACCAUCACAGAUGCUGGCUUUUGAACUUUGCAUCAAUAACAGUCCGGAUGGUUCUUUUCCUCUUUGGCCCGGAGGACACGGUGUACACAAUUUGAAAAACAAUUUGAAAUGUGGACUCGUCAGACCACAGAACACUUUUCAACUUUGCAUCAGUCCAUCUCAGAUGAGCUCGGGCCUGAGCCCAUGUGGCGAUAUCCUCUUUGUAGUGAACUCAAUUGAAGAUUGGUUGAAAAGGCUUUGCAAAUCAGUGCAUUUUGUUUUUAUUUACGUUUAUCACAAUUUCCCAACUUUAAUGGAAUUGGGUUUUGUACCUUAGUAGUCAGAGCUGCCCUGGGGCAGCCUGAUGGAAAAGUGGCUGCCAGUUUGCAUCUACGGCCUAACCAACCACCACGACACAACACUCACAAUCAUACACCAGUGGAGGACACACACUGGGAGCAAGGUGGUUUAAGUGUGUCCUGUGUGUCCUGCCCAAGGACACAACAGAGGGAGGACACACUUGGGAUAGCGGGGGAUCAAACCACUAAACUUCCAGUUAUUGGACAACCGCUCUACCUCCUGAGCAACUGCCACCCCUUACCAGCUCCCUGUCCAGCUUACUGACAAAGAAUGAACUUUGGAGUUUGUAAACAUUUGCCAGUUUUCUUUUUUUUAUAUGGUUUUCUUAUCUUUUCAAAAUAAACAAUACAGAACAGGAGGUUGUAUCUUGCAUUCACUCCACUUCACUCCACAUCACAAAGUCAUCCAAUGAUUGUUUAAAUCAACCUGAAACAUCAAGACAGAGAGUCCAUGAAAGCAGUAGUUCAACAUUUCUAACCACACCACACCACACAUCAACUAACGUGUUAGCUUGCUAUGGUUGAGGCCCUUUAUGCUGCAAAUGUUGGCUAACCAUUAGCUUGCUCACCUACCAAUUGAUUCCUGAAGGCAGAAGCUGGUACACAAUAGUGCUUCACAAACAUACAUCUUAACAACAAAAUGAGGGUCUAUAUAAUAAUAUCAAGUCAUCUGUAUGUUAAAGCAAUAGUGGGAAUGUAACAAACCUUGCUUUGUGCGUCUCCUCGCUUCAGCAGUUGUGGCAUCAGUCUGGUGAGUGGGUGGUGCUUGGUUUCAAAUGCCUCAAUGUCUAACCAAUGUGUUAGGUAGUCCACAAUGAACCAAUAAAACUGUAGAAAUUACAACCCAACAGCGAAUAACUCUGUUCCCAACAUAAAUAACCUUGCAAAUUGGGUACUCAGAAUAUCAACUCCAUGAAAAUAACCCAAAUAAUAUGACCAACAGGCUCAACCUCGUGGUUGGGUUGAAAAAACAACCCAGCAUUUUUUUAUUUGCAUGAAGAUGCAUUAGUACUGUGGCAAAACAUGCAAGGUGCAAGUCUUUUUCUUUAAGGUAGUGUUUUUCACUGAGACUCAGUGGUGCCAGCAACUUGCAAGUAAAUCAAAAAUAGCCAAUAACAACAAUCAGACUUAAAAUCCUUUUUUCUAAGAGGCUGAUUUGAUGUUUCCAAUAAACUGGACAGUAACAGUUCUAUUGAUGCUCUCUGUCUCUCAGAAGUAGGCUAAGGGGUAUGAAUGGCACUCAUUCAGCUGUUGUAUUUAAGACUUGUUUCAAAAUACCUGCACUCUUAGCCUAAUGGUUUCUUAUUGUUCUGAGGGACUUUUUUAGAUGACAGGGCAGGAGUUGAAAUGCACCUUGAAAAACAGGGGAGCUGACAAAAGACCUCAGGACAAACACAAGCAUGUAGUAUUUAAUACUACAGUGUGUGCAUGAGGUUACUCUCCUGCCUACCUUCCUUUUAUCCUCAUCAUUGUCUGGCAGUUGUGUUUUGAUAGUUCAAGAAAUAUUGAUGAAAAGUAGAACAAGUGAACAUUUUCAUCUGUCUAACAUGACCAAAGUAUUAGGCACUGGUAAUCGUCCAUCAGGAGGGCAGAAGGUAAUCUGCUUUAGAGAAUCAGAGGAGGUUUUAAUACCAGGAUUAGUGUACUGCUGCUAAGAUGGUGUUGUAAUCACAAGCACAAACACAGCCAUAGCAACCACCCCCUCCUUAUUCUUUCUCUCUCUCUCUCUCUCUCUCUCUCUCCAUUCCAUUCUGUCUGUCUGUCUAUUUCUCUGACUGUCUCUCCCUCAAUUUUGGGCCUUUUACUCCUACUCUGCCACACAUCUAUUUUUUAGUCUCUCACCCCUGUGCUGGAUUAUACUUCUCUCUGAUUCUUUGAUUCUCUACAGUCUUCUAUCUCUAUUGUCUUUCUCGUCCCCAUUUAUUCUGCCAUUCCCUGUUAUUCUCAAACUCUUCUUCCACCUCAAAGUAUCUUCCCUUCAAUACUUGCCCUGCUUCAGCUUACAUAACCUUGGCCACCAAAGCGCUUUUACAUUACAUGUCACAUUCACCCAUUGUCAUCAUGUUAACACACUGACGGCAGAGGCUGCUGUGUAACACCCAUCAGUAUUAAUAAAUCCAUUCACACACCACUGGAUGCGGCCAGCGGGGGGAAGUUUAUGGUCAAGUGUCUUGAAGAAACCAGGAGACGUAAUAGGUGAAAACUAUCAGACAAGCUUCUGGUUAGCAAGUUUUUGGAGUCAAGACUAAGAGGACAAAGCCAAAAGUUGAUAAAAAGUGAUCUGAUAAAAGAGUACUUUAUGGAAAGAUUGUUAAAUUGGGAGCUAAAAAGCCGUAAGCCACACUCUUAAAAACAUUAGGUUAAAAACAACCCAAAUUGGGUAGUUUUCCAACCAAGUGUGAGUUAAAUAUUGGACAGAACACAUGCUGGGUUAAUUUUACACAACUAAUUGGGUUGGUUCACUUAACCCAACAACUGGGUUGUUAAUAUAACCCACCUAAGGGUUUACGAUAACUUCUCUGCUGGGUUCUUUAAACCCAAGAUGUUGGGUUGUUAAUAUUUAAUAUAAUAUCAAAUUACAUUAAUGCAUCAGGUUUCAUAUAGCACCUUAUCAGAGACCCUCAAAGGGCUUUACAUUGGAUACAUCAUUCAUUGCGUACAGCCAGUUUGGUAUUUUCGUGGACUGAACCGCACCAGGGUCUGCCAAGCUGGGCGUGGUGGCGAGGCAGGGGGAGGUGUCGACAGAAUCAGCUGGCACAGUGACAUUUUCGUGCUCGCCGGUGGCGUAUGUGUGCUGAAAGCUCGCAGAUUCAAACCUGGUCAGCUUUCAGCACAGACGGAGCGCAGCUGGUCUAGAGGUAUUUUGGUAAACCAGCGGCACAGUGUCAGGCACAUUUCAGUGCAAUAAAUAAUCAACAACAACUAAUAAUCUAAGUUAGCACAUACAUAUAGAUCUAUAUUGAUAUAUUGUGAUCUAUAUUUGAUCUGAUGAGCGCAUUUGGCACGCGUUUGGAUACACUACCUGACCGAAUCAACAUAGCUGAAACCGCAUUCAAUUAGAUUAAAUAUCUAGUAAAUAGACACACAUAAUGAAGUUAACAAGAUAUGUAAUUCGUCUCCCUUUCUUUCUUCCUCUUCCUCUUAUUUCUCGCGCCGCUCGACCUAGACAUGUCUCCAUGUCCUCUCCCCGUCCAGCUUAACAGAUGAUUUGUUUCAGUGAUCUGGGGCCUCAUGUAUCAACGCUGGCGGUGCCUUGCAUUCGCCAAGAUCGGCGCACACGUCCAGAUUUAUCAUCGCGACACGAGCGUCGGUUCCAGCGCUAAUCAACGCAAAGUGAGGAGGUGGUGUAGAAGUUGGCGUUGAGCCAAUACUUGCGUUGACGGCACUUUGGCGACGCUGUGUGGCAGUGUUUAGUGACUCACUAUGUGACAAGCGUUCACACAUUGCAGUGGAUUAACUGUUAAUCCGACAGGUGUUCGUGUUUGUGUUAAUGUGUAACACAUUAACACAAACACGAACACCUGUCGGUAUUACUGGAGGGGCUAAAAAAGAACUCAUACAACUACAACUACAAAUAGAGAAGACAACAUUCAACAAUGGCAGCACUUGCUCUCCUAGAAGACAUGGAAAACCGUGCCAUCCAACGUGAGCGUCACUUUAUGGAGCGGGAGGACCUGCUCCAGAACUCUGACGAGUGGCUCGUGAGCCGGUUCCGGCUACCGCGGGCCAUCCUCCUGGAGCUGUGUGAGGAGCUCCGCCCGGCGCUCCAGCGCACAACGGCCAGAAGCCGAGCGGUGCCCGUGCCAACGCUGGUGCUGGGCACACUCGGCUUCUUGGCCACAGGCUCCUUCCAGCGGGAGAUGGCGGACCGUUCUGGGGUGAGCCAGCCCACCAUCAGCCGGGCCAUGCCCACGGUGGUGGACCAGCUGAUCCGCCUCUCCCACAGGUACAUCAAAUUCCCCUACGGUGCGGUUGAACAGGCCAAUAUUAAAACGCAAUAGCCGGAUUCCCAAACGUAAUCGGAGCUAUUGACUGCACUCAUGUUGCCAUAAAAGCGCCGUCCGAUGACGAGUACGCUUACGUCAACUGUAAAGGCGUUCACUCGAUCAAUGUGCAGAUCAUCUGUGAUGCGCAGAUGAAUCUGCUCAACAUUGUUGCGAGGUGGCCCGGUUCAACCCACAACUCGCACAUCCUGUACAACAGCACUGUUGGGGAGAGGCUCCAGGCAGGUGCAGUGACAGACGGGUGGCUGCUGGGUGAGUAAAUAUGUAAUGAUAUAAUGUUAUUCAAGAAACUCGACAUGCAUCAGUGACUUGAAGCAAAUGUGUGCAACACUGAUGUAUUGUACUCUGUGUUUGAUUGCGAGUACUCGAUGGAUGUUGUGGGUUAUUGAUUGCUUAUUGCUUGCUAUUAUUACAAUAAAGCCCAAGACUUGACACACUAUGCUUUUUCUGAAGGUGACAGUGGCUACCCCCUCAGGACCUGGCUGAUGACCCCUCUCCACAACCCCCACACUGACCGAGAGUGGAGGUACAACCAUCUCCACUCUUGCUCUCGGUCAGUGGUGGAGAGGGCCAUCGGCCAGUUAAAGGGUCGGUGGCGCUGUCUGGACCGGAGUGGCGGCGUACUCAUGUAUCGUCCUGAGAAGGUGUGCCGGAUUGUGAUGGCGUGUGGCGUCCUCCACAAUGUGGCACACCUGCACCAAAUCCCCAUGGCCAAGUAGCACGUCGCCCCUAAUCACAAACCAGCAGCAGACAGAGGGAUGCGAGCUGAUCCCUGCCGGGCUGCCGUUCUCGCGUGGGAGAAUCUCAUCGCCACGAUGUGAAUGGGUAAGAAGUGAAUACACAGUUUAAUGAGCCAAAUUAUUUACUUUGUCCACCAGACGCUCGAGGACAUUUACAAGGCGGUCCAGCCGCUCAUUGAUCCCCGCGAUCCCCCUAAUUAUUUGUUCCUGUGAUUGCAGGACCGCCUCCGUGAGGACCCUUCCAGUGCGUCCGGGUGGUCCAGCGGAAGCGCCGCAGCUGGUGGACACUCCACCGCUUGUCGGCACGCUGGUGCUGGUGCUGGUGCUGGGGCCGGGGGUGGCCCGAAUGCCGCUGGUCCUGGCCGACGACUCUGAGCCGGCGGACGGGCUGCCGCGGACCGGGGUUACACAAGCCUGCCACACGGCCGACACAUUGAUUUCUGUGACACAAUAAAAAUAUUGGUUCAUUUCAAUUCCUGCUUCUGUGUAUCUGUUGCGUUUACAUCUAUGGCAAAGCAUGUGGACAUUUGUGUGACACGCCACUUACCCUCCGGCAGGCUGUCUGAGUCGCCACGGGUAGCGGCGACAAUCCCCCCCACAGAGGCACCCCCCAUAAUCGCCGACACCCGCUGCUCAAAUGGCGUGAGGGUCUCCUCCCCCGGACCCCCACCUGUCUGGCUGGUACUCCUCCGGAGGGCAGCUGUACGCCGCUUGACCUCCACCUUGAGGUCCGACCACUUUUUUUUAAUCUCCGCGGGGGUGCAUGUCUCGGAACCCACCGCGUUCACCCUCUCGGAAACUUUCUCCCACUCCAAGCAUUUUCGUUUUGCACUGACGCCACUGGACAGGCUGCCAAACAAAACGCACAGUCGCUCCUCCACCUCCGCCACCAGCACCUCCACCUCGCACGCCGUAAAUUUAGUUUUUCUUGUCAUUUUGUCUGCGUGCGAGGACAGGGAGACCCUAUUUAAAUAAAUCUGCAUAUUUAUAGGAGGGCGUAACGGGGGCGGGCCCGGUCUCUCCGACAUCUGCGCUCAAUUCCAAGCUGAUUGGGAUUUAUCAAGGAAACACACGUGGCUUUUGGCACCCACACACCUUGAUAAAUACAGAUUUUUUUCAGCGUGACGGACCUUGCGUGCACUCGUUUCUGGUAUGAGUCCCACGCAAGUGUUGAUAUAUGAGGCCCCAGAUGAGUUAUUUACUUUAUUUUUUUCACCGUCAUCAAGAUGACGCCCGGAGUAGGCGCCCUGGUGUUCUGGUGCUCAUUGUUUUGUCUGUUUUUGUGUGUUAACCGUGUGUCAUCGUGCUCCUACACCCGUGAGGAGCUUCUAAACAUCAGAUCAACAAGACCCACGGACAUUACAUCAGUUUUUUUGGCAUCUGCUGCUGAACUGGUCCACUUUUUGGCCAAAAGAGUGAGACGCUGGCGAAGGGGAAAGCGAGCUGGGGUGCUCGCGCAUCUCAAACAGCAAGGCACGCGUACUCCCUUACCUGGAUUUUCCUCUCCAACGUCCGCUCGCUCAGCAACAAGAUCACCAACUACAAGCCCAAAGCACCUCGUUCAACUGACGACCUAAAACUAGCCAACGGCUUCUAUUCACUCUUCGGAGUCAUGGACUCACAUCCCCUCACCCCCCACACAACUGGAAAUUCAACCACUCUGGUCCUCCCCCCCUCCCCCCGCUUCCCUCUCAGUCCAUGAAGAGGAAGUAAACAGACUGUUUCCACACAAGGCUGCUGGCCCGGACUGUGUCUCUCCUGCCACUCUGAGACACUGUGCUAAUGAGCUAGCUCCAGUCUUCACGGGGAUCUUCAACACCUCCCUGGAGUCAUGCCAUGUUCCAGCCUAUUUGAAGUCCUCCACCAUUGUUCCCGUCCCCAAAAAACUUAACGUAACUGGACUUAAUGACUACAGGCCAGUGGCUCUUACGUUUGUAGUCAUAAAGACCUUUGGACGCCUGGUUUUAUCCCACCUGAAGUCCAUCACCAACCCCCUCCUGGACCCUCUGCAGUUUGCCUACAGAGCCAACAGGUCUGUAGACGACGCCAUAAACCUGGCCCUGCAUUUCAUCCUGCACCACCUGAACUCCCCAGGAUCCUACGCUAGGAUCCUGUUUGUGCACCUCAGCUCUGCAUUCAACACCAUCCUUCUGGCUUUGCUCCAGAACAAGCUUUCCCUGCUCCAUGUGCCUGACUCCACCUGCAGGUGGAUCACAGACUUCCUGACGGAAUGGAGUCAGUGUGUGCGGCUGGGGAAGAAUGUUUUGGACACUCGGGCUCUCAGCACAGGAUCUCCACAGGGCUGUGUACUUUCCCCUCUGCUCUUCUCCCUGUACACCAACUGCUGCACCUCCAGCCAUGAUUCCGUUGAGCUCAUCAAGUUUGCUGAUGACACCACCCUCAUCGGACUCAUUUCGGAUGGAGAUGAGUCUGCCUACAGGUUGGAGGUGGACCGGCUGGUGACCUGGUGCAGCAGCAACAACCUAGAGCUCAACAGCCAGAAGACAGUGGAGAUGAUCGUGGACUUCAGGAAAGCCACAGCCCCCCUGCCCUCCCUCGACCUCACCGACUCCCACAUCACCACUGUGGACUGCUACCGCUUCCUCGGCACCACCAUCACCCAGGACCUCAAGUGGGAGCCAACCAUCAGCUCCCUCAUCAAGAAGGCCCAGCAGAGGAUGUACUUCCUACGGCAGCUGAGGAAAGCCAAGCUGCCUGUCCAGCUGAUGGACUGUGCAGUUCUACACGGCCAUCAUCGAGUCCAUCCUCAGCUCCUCCAUCACGGUGUGGUACGCCGGGGCCAUUGUUAGGGACAGACACAGACUGCAGCGCAUUGUGGGCUCUGCUGAGUAGGUGAUCGGCUGUAGCCUUCCAUCUCUCCAUGACCUGUACGUCUCCAGGACAAGAGCAGGUCGGAUCGCAGCUGACCCUUCUCACCCUGCACAUGGACUAUUUGAGACACUCCCCUCAGCCAGGAGGCUACAGUCCAUUCGGACCAGAACCUCCUGCCAUAAGAACAGUUUCUUCCCCUCUGCCAUUGGACUCAUGAACACUUUAUAACUCAGUCACUUUAAGUCUGUCACUUUAUCACUGGUCACUUUAGUUAAAUGUACCUUGGUUUUUUAAUUGCACUCCUCCCACUGCACUGUUUUUCUGUAUUGUGUAGUUGUACAUAGCCUGUUAUACUUACUGUACAUAGCAUUGUACAUAGCCUUUUAUAUUUUUAUACUUUAUAUAUGUCCUGCAUGCUCUAAUUAUUUUUUAUUCUAGUAUUUUAUGUAUUAUUCUCCGUUUAAUGUUGCACCAUCACGCCGUAAAAAAUUCCUAGUCUGUGAAUCCUGUUCAUUGACAAUGGCAAUAAAAGCCCUUCUGAUUCUGAUUCUGAUUAAGCCUACAUACAAAUAUUAUAAUAUUGAGCCAAAUUAAUUUUUUAUAUGCCAACAUCUAUGAAAGAAAGAGCCAGGCCACUGAGUGCGAUGUGUAAUUACGCACAGAUGGUUCCGAUUUUAAUGCCAUUAUUGGAAUUUAUGUUGUGAUCUGUGCGCACAACCCACCUUUGUCACGUGAGGUUUGAAUAUAUGCAACUUUAUGUAAGUGUCUUUAUUUGUGGAAAAGGGUGUUUGUCUUACUAGUGGGUCUAAACUUACACACACCAAAUCCAUCUGUGCUUAUAUAAGACAGUGUGAAGGACGCCCUCUGCAGCGUUUACAGCGACACUUGUUGAGGAGCUGCCUUCUGUCGCCAUCGUGUGGCAUUACUGUCUUCAGACAUCUCUUGAUCUCUUUGACUACUUCACGAAAAUUGUAAUACGCCUCGCUGGUGGUGGAUUUAAAGGCAAAGAGAGGAGCUGAUGUUAUUGGUCAAUACAGGUCUCGGCUGUUAAAAUCCCCUCCACGCCCGCUCUCCUCCCUCCCUACGACUCACGCCGCUGGGAGGAGCUGAGAUAGGGAGGGGGGAUACUUACCCCGGAAUGCGCCGCUCACCAAAAUACCAAAUUGUGCUUGGGGACGCCUUGUCAGCGCGGCGGACCUGACUUAUGCCCUGCCUGCGGCACGUCUCCGGCAUGCCACGAAAAUAGAGCCCAGAGAGUCCAUGAAAGCAGUAGUUCAACAUUUCUGACUACACCACACCACAUGUCUGAGGCAAUGUACUUUAUGCUGCAAAUGUUCACUAACCAUUAGCUUGCUCUCCUACCAAUUGAUUCCUUCAGGCAGAAGCUGGUACACAACAGUGCUUCACAAACUUACAUCUUAACAACAAAAUGAGGGCCUAUAUAAUAAUAUCAAGUCAUCUGUAUGUUAAAGCAAUAGUGGGAAUGUAACAAACCUUGCUUUGUGCAUCUCCUCGCUUCAGCAGUUGUGGCAUCAAUCUGGUGAGUGGGUGGUGCUUGGUUUCGAACGCCCGAACGUCUAUACAACAAAACUGUAUAGAAAAUACAACCCAACGGCUAAUAGCUCUGUUCCCAAUAUAAAUAACCUUGCAAAUUGGGUACUCAGAAUACCCAACAUAAAAAUAACCCAAAUAAUAUGACCAACAGGCUCAGCCUCGUGGUUGGGUUGAAAAAACAACCCAGCAUUUUUUUGUGUUAUGACCAAAAACCUGUUGUGAGCCUAAGUUAUAGCAAUAUUAUGCGACAGUAAAUUGUUAGAAUUCUUUUUUGAACUACCCUACACUCAUAGAAAUUUAAAUUUAAAUGCACUUUUACAAUGGCAAACCUAUAAAUUGCACAUUUAUAUUGUUGUAGGAAGUGUGAUGCAGCUGGCAAGACAGAUAUGCUUUGUGAAUUCUCAGGCUAUAAAAAGCCUUGUGUUUCUCACCCAAUUUAAGGUUCGGAAGGUUGGUGGUUGGAUUCCCCCCUAUCCCGGGUCUGUCCGUUAUGUCCUUGGGCAAAACACUUAAACCACCUUGCUCCAGUGUGUGUCCUCCACUGCUGUAUGAUCGUGAGUGUGGUGUGGUGGUGGUCAGCCUGCCCCAGGGCAAGAUUACUACUAAGGUAGUUUACCACCACCAAGGUGUGACUGUGUGAGCGAAUAAAUGAUGUAUAAAAUGUUAAGCACUUUGAGAGUCUCUGACGAAGUGCUAUAUGAAAUAUAGAAUAUAAAUAUAUUAAAUAUUAACAACCCAACUGCUGGGUUUAAAGAACUCAGCAGAGUAGUUAUUGUGAACCCUUAGUUGGGUUAUAUGAGCAACCCAAAUGGGUUAUAUAAACAACCCAAUUAUUGGGGUAAGUGAACCAACCCAAUUUGUUAGGUAAAAUUAACCCAGCAGGUGUUCAGUCCAAUAUUUAACCAGCACUGGGUUGGGAAACUACUCCAAUUCAGUUGUUUUUAACCCAACCUUUUGUGUAACCACAUAACUAAGAACCAUUCCGCCCUUAAGUGUAUUUUUCUUCAGAUAAAACCAUCGUUUUGGACUCUCCUGCCUGUGGUGCAUCAAAGAAAUCUCUUUACUGUUUUUAUAAGGAAAAGAAAAAUUAGCACUUUUUGGCUGCUAAAUGCCAAGAAAUGCCUAUUGGGCCCAUUUUCCCCACCAGGCUUAUGUAGUAGGCAAGAUGGUGAUGUCAUGAUCUGCACUCUGGCAAACCAUGAGGGGGCUCGUCUCAAAUUACAUUAUCCCUAAUUGAAAAUAAUGACUAAAUCAUGUUGACAGCCAGUUCAAGUGCAGUGAAGUUGGCUGGAAGCUUACAAACAACAAGAUUUUAUGCCUAGAAAUUGUAAAUCGUCCCAAAUAAAGCAUCCUUAACCCUUCUCCACAUUAAAAUUAAUUUGCUUCUAAUAUGCAGAAAUUGAUGUCAAUGAAUUGCAGACAUAGAUGGCCUCCACUCUGCAGUCUUCUGAAGAGUUUGUUUCCCGUGGUUUUAACAGAUUUAGUUCCCAAUUAAACUAAUGCUGAUUAAGCAUUUCCACUUAUUGUUACUCCUGUCGGCCAUUUUCUUUAUUAUUAUUAUUAUUAUUAUUAUUAAGUGGAAAUGCUGAUUAAGCAUUUCCACUUCCAUUGUUAUUCUUCUGUUUCUUUUUAAGAAGUUUUCACUUGACAUCACUUCCGUGUUACGCGGCAUGCGCGCAAAACAGAUGGAGGGCAGAAAGUGAGUUGCUGCUAUAUAGACCAGCAACAUUCCAAUGUUUUGCUCCGUUUACGGCUGAUCAAAUCGAUCGAACAGGGAAAAAAACCAAGCUUUUAUCGUGUGCCCAAAGUAGUGUUACACAAAGGGGAAAGAUAUAUGAAGCUGACUGAAAAACGCAGGAAAAAACGGCUAUUUAAUCUCUGCCUACGCCAGUGGUUCUCAAGUUUGGUUGGGGGAACUGUGAGGAGGUUGGCACUGGCGGAGCGGAGGGUGCGGGGGGGGAUGUAGGGGUGGAGUAGAUCUUGCAGGUGGGGGGGGGGGGGCCUGGUUGUGGAGUGCUUUGUGGGUGAGAAGGAGGAUUUUGUACUGAAUGCGUUGGGGGAUGGGGAGCCAGUGAAGGUUCUGGAGGACGGGGGUGAUGUGUUGGUGGGAGCGUGUGGGGGUGAGGAGGCGGGCGGCAGAGUUCUGGAUGAGCUGAAGUUUAUUGAGGAGAGUGGAGGUAGUGUCAUGGAGGAGACUGUUACAAUAAUCUAGACGGGAUGAAAUGAAUGCAUGUAUGAGGGUUUCAGCUGCGGGGUAGGAGAGGGAGGGGCGUAGGCGGGCAAUGUUUUUGAGGUGGUAGUAGGCUGUUUUGGUGAUUUGCUUUACGUGCUGAUUGAAGGAGAGUUUGCUGUCGAAGAGAAUACCAAGGUUGCGAUAGUGGGAGGAGGGGGAGAGGGUGGAGUUGUCAAUUCAGAGAUGAAAGUCUGUGACUGUGGAGGUGAGGGAGUUUGGGCCAAUGAUGAGGAGAUCUGUUUUGUCAUAGUUGAGCUUGAGAAGGUUGCUGUCCAUCCAGUGUUUGACAUCAGAGAGGCAGUUUGAGAGGGAGCGGUGGGUCUGGGGGGUGAUGGAGGUGGAAGAGAUGUAUAAUUGAAUAUCAUCAGCAUAGCAGUGGAAGUGAAGAUUGUGUUGACGGAGGAUGUGGCCAAGAGGGAGGAGGUAGAUAAUGAAGAGGAGGGGACCAAGCACCGAGCCCUGGGGGACACCUUGGGACACGGGCAGUUGUGGAGGAGCAGUUGUUGAUAUGGAUGAAGUGAUUCCGGUCUGUGAGAUAUGAGUGGAUCCAGUUAAGAGCGGUGUCUGUGAUAUUGAGGAGGGAGUGUAGGCAGGACAAGAGGAUGGCGUGAUUGAUGGUGUCGAAAGCAGCAGAGAGGUCAAGGAGGAUGAGGAUGGAGAGUUGGCCGGAGUCAGCAGAAAUGAGGAGGUCGUUGGUGACUUUGAUGAGGGCAGUUUUAGUGCUGUGGUGGGUGCGGAAUCCUGAUUGAAACUGUUUGUAAAGAUUGUUAUUGUUGAGGUGGGCUUUGAUUUGUGAUGCAAUGACACGUUCAAGGAUUUUUGACAGGAAAGGAAGGUUGGAGAUGGGCCGGAAGUUGGUGAUGUCGUCAGGGUUGAGUCCUGGUUUUUUGAGUGAAGGGGGAACAGUGGCGGAGUUGAGGGAGGAUUUGAUGAUCUGUGUGAUGAUGGGAGAGAUGACGGGGAGGCAGUGCUUGAUGAGGGAGGAUGGGAUGGGAUCCAGGAUGCAGGUGGAUGAUGACAUGGAGCAGAUGAUGUUGGUCACGUCGGUUGAAGAAACAGGUGAGAAGCGGGAGAGUGCUGAUAGGAUGAGGGGAGGAGCUGGGAAUGGAGGGUGGGGGAAGGGAGUUGUAGAUAGUGUUGAUUUUGGAUUGAAAAGAAGAGAGGAAUGAGUUGCACUUUUCCGGGGUGAAGGUGAUGGAGGUACUGUCUAUGGGGUGUAGCAGUUUUUUGACUGUGGAGCAAAGAGCCUUUUGGUUACUGGAGCCAGAUUGGAUGAGGUUGGAGUAAAAGGAAGAACGGGCGGAUUUUAGGGCUGUUCUGUACAGGUGGAGAUGGUCGGUGUAGGCUUGGAGAUGGAUGGUGAGGCCGGUUUUGCGGUAGCGACGUUCCAGUUGGUGUAUGUGUGAUUUCAUUUUGUGCAGUUCUGAGGUAAACCAGGGGGCAGAGUGUCUAAAUAAAACUGUUCUUGUUUUAAGGGGUGCGAACUGGUCCAGGCAGGAGGAUAGAGUGUGAUUGAAGUAGUUUUACAAAUAAAUGUAUUACUUCUAGUACUACAACUUAAACUUAUGCCACUUCUCACCUUCCUGCCUUUUAAGGCAAUUUCCUUCUUCAUUCAAACUUUGUGCAAUUUUAGGCAUUUUUCUAGCAUCUUUCAGCAUGAAUAAAAUUUCCUUUUAUAGAGCAUAUUCAUACUAAUUGUCCUUCAACCAAUUUAACAAUUAUCCAACUUCUAUUUCUUUUUCACACCUUCAACAGCUUUUACAUUUAUACCUUUCUCCAUGUUUUAUUAGCAAUUUAGCAUUGCUUUUUCAGCUUUCAGCACUCAGCAUUUCCACGCAUUUUCUGCAAGGAAAUGCAAUUCUUCUAGUUAAGUGGAAAUGCUGAUUAAGCAUUUCCACUUAUUGUUAUUCCUGUCGGCCAUUUUCUUUCUUUAUUAUUAUUAUUAUUGUUAAGUGGAAAUGCUGAUUAAGCAUUAAGCAUUUCCUGUUUCUUUAUUUAGUGGAAUCCCACUAUGUUAUUCAUAUCUUUAUUAUUAUUGAGUGGGAUUGUGAAGCAUUCCCACUUUAUGUUAUUCAUGUCUUUAUUAUUGAGUGGGAUUGCGAAGCAUUCCCACUAUAUGUUAUUCAUAUCUUUAUUUUUAUUGAGUGUGAUUGCGAAGCAUUCCCACUGUAUGUUAUUCACUUAUUUUUUAUGAUUGAGUGGGAUUGCGAAGCAUUCCCACUUUAUGUUAUUCAUAUCUUUAUUUUAAUCAUUAUUCAGUGGGAUUGCGAAGCAUUCACACUAUAUGUUAUUCAUAUCUUUAUUAAGUGGAAAUGCUGAUUAAGCAUUUCCACUCAUUGUUAUUCUCCUGUUUCUUUAUUAAACUUAUUAAGUGGAAAUGCUGAUUAAGCGGAUGUAUUUUUCACUUUUCUACCCCUUUUACUUUUUGAAAUAUUUUACUUUUUGUGCUAAAUUUUUCCCAUUGAAAUGAAUGGGGAAAUCUUCAAAUUCUACCUUUUUCUCCUCCACCUUCUCAGCCUUAUAACUUCAGCGUACUUUCACCUAGAGACCUCAUUUUUGCUUUAAAAUGUUCAUUUACUUUUUUGUGCUAUCUCCUAAAGUUUUUCCACAAUUUAGCAUUAAGCAACUCGUGGUUUUCAGCAAAUUUCAGGCUUUAUAAUGGAUGUGUAUCGGAGAGGCUAGAGUUAUGAUGUCAUCGCUAGAGUGGACAGCUGCUCUUGGAUCGACAGAACCUCGCUCAAAUAUAUCGCUACUACGCCCACCAAUUUCACUCUACAGCCAUAAAAAAUACAUAAAAAUGAUUUAAGGAAAUCCCACUAUGUGAAGAAGUUCUGAGGCCCUAAAUUCACUGCAGUUUGGCAGCUUCUCAUUCAAACAAACAGAUGUGGAGGUUGUGGAAAUCUGGGAGUCACUGGAUGCAUACUGUUCUUCAUUUGCCUUGGCAUUUUUUUUUUCUUAUCUAAGAAAGCAAAACGAUAGAUACAAAGACAAACAACGAAUUAGACACAAUAGAGAGGGGCAUCUGAGGGAAUACAACAGCACAAACACUGAGCAUGUAGCAAGGCCUACAUCACAUCACAAACUACAAAAAGGAGCAGUGGGGCUGAGAGUAGGACUGGGCGAUUAUAUGAUCGAUGAUCGCGAUAAAUUUCAGUUUGAUCACGGUGAUUAGCUGUGAGCAUAAUUACUCGAUCAAACAUGGCAGAAAUGUGCGUCACAACAGCCAAUCAGAGUCUGGCUUUUCCUGCUCACUUCUGUAAGUUACCGGAGAAGUAAGGAGAAAUAAACAGAAUGGCCGAACAUGGAGCUAAACGCAGAGCUGAGGGCAGCAAAUAGAUGUGAGCCGUGACUUUGAGUCAUCCUCAGAAGAUGUUAUAGUUGAGAAGUUGUUCAACGUCUCUCCAAAGUGACAUCGAGCAAUUAAGCGAUAAACCGGCAACACAACAGAUCAGUUUAAUCAUUUGAAGAAGUUCUUCCCGAGUGAUUAUGCGGGAAGCAUGAAAAUGUGAGCAGAGUCUGUACAGCCUGUCACUGCUGACGGUAUGAGUAGCAUUAGCAGUUUAGCCACAACUAGCGGUGCAGCCACCAGACCAAAGCAGCGAUCAAUCAUUUCCAUACCUGCCAACACUCCCGUUUUUCCCGGGACUCUCCCGUGUUUCAGACCUAUCUCCCGCCCAACCCCCGUAUUGUCAUUUCUCCCGGGAAUUUCUCGUAGCAUGGUCCACAUUCAUUCAUGAAUCGGUUCACUAUAUUUGUCCAAAGUUUCCAGACAACCGGAGAUAGUCCUGUGUUUCUGCUGAGCCUCACAGACAGUGGAUUGAUACUUUUACUUUACAGUUUGGGAUGAUUCAGGUCGGUUUCAGCUGUAAACUAUAUUAAAGCAGUGUUUGUUGCAAAAUGAACAUUUCGAUGAAAGGAAAACAAACGCGAGAUAUGCGAGAGUGAUGCGUUCAGGGCAGCCCCGGAUAAAAGAGUGCUGUAUUUCAUGCACAGAUGUUCAGAGAGCCUCAUAUGGGAGAGCAUGUAGAACAUGUAGUACUGUUGAGUUAAAAUGUUUUUUUAGAUUUUUUUAAGUGUAUCUUAUUCAAUUUGCGUUGUUAUUUACUUUGUAUGUUAAUAAAAUGUUGAACUAAUCUCUAGUUUUUUUAGUUUUUAGUACAGAUGCUUUAAAACUGGCAGUUAAAGAAAAAAAUCAUGAUAAUAAUCGAGAUCGGACGAUAUGACAAAAUAAAUCGUGAUCAUUUUUUUUGCCAAAUCGCCCAGGCCAAGCUGAGAGUGAUUUUACUGGUUAACAAGGUUCUUAAAACUAAUAACUCUUGGCUAUAGUAGAACAGAACUGCAAAUAGCCUAUUUGAAGUUUGCAAAAUUACCUACCCAUUGAGUCUGUAGUUCUAAGUGCAACUGGGAGUUUGUUCCACAUUUGGGGGCUAACAGGGCAAAGAGACAGCCAGCCAACCAGCCUACCGGACAUCCUCUGUUUGCAUCUACUACCUUCAACUAACCAGCCACACUACAAAGCUAACAUCAUUGUUGAUUAAUUUAGAGUGUAAAAAUAAUGGACACUACGGGGUCCAUUUGGUUCCUUUUGUAUGCACACCCACAAGGGGUCCCAUUUAGUUCCAAACUAUCAUCUAGCGGGGGACCCCUUGAAAUCCCUUGAGGGCCCCCUGAGGGUCCCCGGACCAUACUUAGAGAACCAGUGGUAUAGACAACUCGUUUAUAGCAUAACAUGCAUUUCACUUCAGCUGGUAGCUAAAACAUAUCUAAAGAGAUUUGACUACAAACCAUGAUAAAUAAACAUUUGACAAGAGCAGCUGCGUUUUUUCUUAAAAUUUUUUUAUCCAAGCUAGUGUGUACUAUGUUUAUCUGAGGUACUUUCAUGAUCAACGUGCAAACUUGUUUUGCCGAGAGGACGCUUGCCUGUCACAUCAAAACUGGUGACCUAUAGAAUUCAGUGACUGCAUUACAUAGGCAAUUUACAUAGGCACCGAAUGUGACAAGUUGUCACAUUCGGUGCAACUUGUUUUGUAAAGAAAUUCUAUGUGGUUUUAUACAAUCUAAUUCGGCCCCUGCAAGCCCUGGACGAUGUAGUGCCGUUGGUUUUGAACCCUCCUCCACUAACCCGAACGCUAGCAAGGCUAACGUUAACUAGCUACAUUGAUGUUUGUGAUCAGUUCAUCAUAGUAUUUUGCAGGACUAAAUAAGUAAACAAAUACACGUUCCAAGCAACAUAUAUGGCUUUUGUACAGUAGCUUACCUGUGCUGUCGCCUUCUUCCUCAUCUUCAAUAAUAUCUAUCGGCUUUGGACAUUCAGUUCAUGCUCGACGUGUAGCGGUGUUCAUUCUUGCAAACUUUGACCUUUGACCUUGAUUGAUUAUCGAUUAGAGUCAGCCGCCUCAGCUCAGCUGCUCAAGAGCUUGUACUAGACCCGCCCUUUGCGCGACAUGAUUGGCCAGUCAUCUGUCUUGAUUGACAUCUCUAGGAAGCAUUCUCCCUGCUUGCCUCUGAUUUGGUUGAAUGGCAGGAAGGGGAGCUCCCCUCUAAUGUGCACGCUGCACGCUAAUGUGACUUUUUUCUGUUUUUGGUUAUGUAUUCUGGCGGGACCAUAGAUUGUAUAUACUAUAUAUAUACUGUAUAUAUAUAUAUAUAUAUAUCAGUGGCGAUUGCUCUAAGACAGCAAGGGAAGCUCUUGCCUUAAAAUGUCACCCCCCCCCCCCCCCCCCCCCCAAAAAAAAAAAAAAAAAAAAAAAAAGUGGUGAAAUACGUACUGCUGUGUGUACAUUUCAGUAACUAAAUACGCACUAGAAAGCCUUCAUCUUUUGUUCAGAAUCAGCUUCUUAUCACACUGUGAUAAGAAGCUGCUAAAGAAAUAAUACCGAAAAGGAAGGUUAAAUGCUGUUCAUGCAGGCACAAUAUGAAGCUGAUGCUGCGGAGGGCUUGUUUGGAUCGAUUUGAAUGGUAUGUUUUUUAUUUUUUAACAUAGAUUGUAUGUUUAAUAAAAAAGGCUAAAAAUAUCAUUUACAUUAAUACUGUUAUAACGAUGACUGUGUGUGUGUGUGUGUGUGUGUGUGUGUGUGUGUGUGUGUGUGAGAAUGACAGAGAGAGUGUCUGUUUGUGUGUGUGUGUGUGUGUGUGUGUGUGUGUGUGUGUGUGUGUGUGUGUGUGUGUGUGUGUUAAAGUAGUGUAUAUCAAGUCAGUUGGGCACUACAAACAUCUGGGCACUGUGUGUUGGAUGACUGGGCACAACUGGGCUCUAGGGACAUGUGGGCACCUAUACAAGUGGGCAUUAAUAUUUUACCUUUUUUGAACUACUUCCAUUUCAUUGUUAUUUUUUGGUACUUCUCUUUUGGCAAAUACAGUCUUCUACACCCAACAUAUAGAGAGAGCCUGGAGAACAUAUAAGGAGAAGAUCUGGCGACUUAGAGGAAAGCAUAGAGGAGCUCCUUGAAGACCCCCUUUCAGUCAUUGAGUGGGAAGACUGGCUUGCAAGGAAACACCGUCAUGGCCCCUUAGGUCGUCUACUGCAUGACAUGCGGGUCAGGGGAUGAGUCAGGCAGGGACAAGAGUGUGUUGGUUUUUGAAAAAAUCAAAGUCCGUCCAACUGUCGUCACUCGCAGGAGGAGGCUUUUAGGCAGCUGAUGCCGAAAAUGUCUUUCUCUCUCUCUCUUACUCUCCCUCUUUCUCUCUCUCUCUCUCUCUCACUGAUUGACUGUCCUAGUGUUCAAAACACCUACCUCUACAAAGGGUGUUCAAAGUGUUUACAUUUGAUAGGAAAAUGCUCCGUUCGACUGUCAUUUUAAAGGAGUAGUUCACCCCAGAAAAUGACUUAGUCUUUCAAUAACUCCCCCAAUUGAUUUAAUUCAAUAUCUGUUUAGUUUUUGACACAUUCCGAAGCCAAUAAUUUGAUAACCGGUGGAGACUCAAGUAUCCCCUACUGACUGAUAAGCC